UGCAGUCAAAAAGUGAUUUUUUUUUUACUGAAAUUGCUAUGUGCUUUUUUACAUAGUGUAGAUAUACAAUAAUGGUACCAAAACCAGGUGAGAAUAUGCACAAGUGAUAAACUUGGAGAGCAUAAUGAUCAAAGAAUGAGAAACUGCAGACACAGCCAAAUAUUGCAUGCUUGCAAUAUAGUAAUUAUCUAUAAAGAUCCCUGCAUAAUCUAUCAUUACAUUACCAUUAGAGAAGAACAAGAAGAGAUUAAGAUGAGAGGAAACAGCAGCAAGAACACCAUUAAUUAAUUUAAUUAAUCUAGUGAUCAGCUACAUGUACACGCCCCACGUACACACACGAGCACACACUCUGCCUCCCACCCACACGACACGAGAACACAAGAACAGAGCAGCCCGAGCAAAGCUUCACCGNNN
rnacentral:lncRNA from 1 species